CCUCCCGCAAAUAUCAACGUAUAGGAGGUCCCGCCUGCCCAGUGACAUGUUUUAAACGGCCGCGGUAUUCUGACCGUGCAAAGGUAGCGCAAUCACUUGUCUUUUAAAUAAAGACCUGUAUGAACGGUAGAACGAGGGCUUAACUGUCUCCCUUUUUAAGUCAAUGAAAUUGAUCUGCCCGUGCAGAAGCGGACAUAAAAAUACAAGACGAGAAGACCCUUUGGAGCUUAAGACCUCAGAUCAAUUAUGUCAAGAACAACCAAGUUAAACUAAUUAACACCUGAUCCUACUCUUUAGUUGGGGCGACCACGGGAGAAAAUAAAGCUCCCACGAAGACUGGACCCACCUCCUCUAGAACUAAGAGAGACAUCUCUAAGUCACAGAACCUCUGACCAUAAAGACCCGGCCACUAGCCGAUUAACGGACCAAGUUACCCUAGGGAUAACAGCGCAAUCCCCUUUCAGAGCCCAUAUCGACAAGGGGGUUUACGACCUCGAUGUUGGAUCAGGACAUCCUAAUGGUGCAGCCGCUAUUAAGGGUUCGUUUGUUCAACGAUUAAAGUC
rnacentral:rRNA from 1 species